AUUUUUUGUGCUUUGUGAUAAUUAUUGUAUGUUCUUUACAUAAAGCCUGGGCCAGAAUCCUCUUGGUUCAGAGGGAGCGUCAGUGUUAGCUCUUGUUCUGAGAAACCCAGAUUGUCGAAUUCAGAGGCUGUGGGUGGUUGCGACAGGACUUGGCUGUGAAGGCCUGAAGAUCCUUGUAGAAGCGCUGAAAGAAAAUCGUACUGUGACUGAUCUAAGAAUGGCCAUAAAUAAAAUUGGAGAUGUUGGAGCUGGUUACCUUGCAGAAUUGUUGAGGACGAAUCGCACACUGACAGAUAUCAGGUAAAAGAGACUUAUCUCCAUCAUUUCAAUCUCUUGAAUAAUUUAUUUAUCUGAAAAGUUCAGAGUUGAAACAUUCUGCAUCCUAUAGGCUUCGUGACAACCUAGUGACAGACAAAGGAGCAGAAGUCCUCAUGGCUGCCCUGAAAGAGAACACUACAUUAGAGUAUCUGUGGUAAGAAACAUCAAGAGCUGAUUUACUAUAGUCUAUUUCCUCAUGAUUCUGUAACACAAAUAUAUUUUCUGUUCAUCGCAGGUUGUUUGACAACAAGUUUACCAAAGAUGGCGUCAAGAAACUCAAAGAAUUUGCAAAGACCAGACCAGACCUUGACAUUAAAGCUUGCAUCUGACACCACAACCAAUAAACCAGUGGAGUAGCAACUGGUUCAUGACAAACAUUUUCAUUCACACAUUUUAUUCAUACAUUAUUUUACAUAUGGUACAAUUACUCUGAUAUAUUACUUUUAAUACAUAUUAGACUGUUAAAUGAAUAGUUUACCUAAAAAUGAAAAAUUGCUGAAAAUGUACUCACCCUCAGGCCAUCCCAGAUGUAGCUUGUUUCUUCAUUUGAACAGAUUUGGAGAAAUUUAGCAUUACAUUAUUUGCUCACCAACAGAUCCUCUGCAGUGAAUGGGUGCCGUCAGAAUGUGGUAAAGAAAGUGAUUAAAACAUCACAAUAAUCCACAAGUAAUCCAAACAACUCCAAUCCAUCAAUUAACAUCUUCUGAAGCAAAAAACAGCAUGCUUGUAAGAAACAAAUCCAUCAUUACGGUGUUUUCACUAUAAACAAUUAUUCCUUUAACUACUCAGGCUACUACUGCUAAACUGGACGUUUAAGGAUGCUAUAUUUGUACAUUAAUAAGCAGCAGACCUAUUUUAGGAUUUAUAGAGUUUUUUUUAAACACUGAAUUGCAUUUAUUUAUUUUGUGCAAUAACGUUUGUAUUAUCAAAUCUUUUACAGCUUUCAGCUAACACCCACACAAUCAGAUUUGACUU
rnacentral:lncRNA from 1 species